GAUGAACGCUGGCGGCGUGCUUAACACAUGCAAGUCGAACGGAGUAUUUCUCCCGAGACCGAGGAAGCUUGCUUCCGAAGAAUCAUUUGAAAUACUUAGUGGCGGACGGGUGAGUAACGCGUGGGUAACCUGCCUCACACUGGGGGAUAGCAGUUGGAAAUGACUGAUAAUACCACAUAAGACCACAGUACGGCAUCGUACAGGGGUCAAAGAUUUAUCGCUAUAGGAUGGACCCGCGUCUGAUUAGCUAGUUGGUGAGGUAACGGCCCACCAAGGCGACGAUCAGUAGCCGGCUUGAGAGAGUGACCGGCCACAUUGGGACUGAGACACGGCCCAAACUCC
rnacentral:rRNA from 1 species